rnacentral:rRNA from 1 species
CCUACGGGAGGCAGCAGUGAGGAAUAUUGGUCAAUGGGCGCGAGCCUGAACCAGCCAAGUCGCGUGAGGGAGGACGGCCCUACGGGUUGUAAACCUCUUUUGCCGGGGAGCAACGGGCGCCACGUGUGGCGUCACUGAGAGUACCCGGAGAAAAAGCAUCGGCUAACUCCGUGCCAGCAGCCGCGGUAAUACGGAGGAUGCGAGCUUUAUCGGGAUUUAUUGGGUUUAAAGGGUGCGAAGGCGGAUCGUUAGUCCAGUGGUCAAAUUGAGGGGUCCAACCCCUUCCCGCCAUUGAAACUGGCUCUCUUGAGUGGAAGAGAAGUAGGCGGAAUGCGUGGUGUAGCGGUGAAAUGCAUAGAUAUCACGCAGAACCCCGAUUGCGAAGGCAGCAUGCCGGCUUCCGACUGACGCUGAAGCACGAAAGCGUGGGGAUCGAACAGGAUUAGAUACCCCGGUAGUC